AGUCAGGAAUAUUGGGCAAUGGGCGAAAGCCUGACCCAGCAACGCCGCGUGAAGGAUGAAGGCCCUCGGGUCGUAAACUUCUGUCGAGAGGGAAGAAUGCGUACGGGUGAACAAUUCGUGCGUUUGACGGUACCUCCAAAGGAAGCACCGGCUAACUCCGUGCCAGCAGCCGCGGUAAUACGGAGGGUGCAAGCGUUGUUCGGAUUCAUUGGGCGUAAAGCGAGUGUAGGCGGUUUGGCAAGUCGGAUGUGAAAUCCCGGGGCCCAACCCCGGAACUGCAUCCGAUACUGUCUGGCUAGAGUCCCGGAGAGGGUGGCGGAAUUCCCGGUGUAGGGGUGAAAUCCGUAGAUAUCGGGAGGAACACCAGUGGCGAAGGCGGCCACCUGGACGGUGACUGACGCUGAGACUCGAAAGCGUGGGUAGCAAA
rnacentral:rRNA from 1 species